CGGGCGCCCGAGGUCCUGGGCCGGGGUUCCGCGGGUUCUUCGCCCCCGGGCCUUUCAGUGGCGCGGGCCGAGUGGCCAUGGCGCUCGGGUGCGCGCAGUGCACGCGGUGAGCUGGAGACGCAGGCAUUGCGCGGCCCACCGGCUGAGCCCGCUCUCCCUGCGAGGGGGGCGCAGCUCGGUGGAGAGGGUGGCCCGGAGGACCGGGAACCGGGCUGGAGGCGCGCGGGGCUCACACCGCGGGGUCCGCGGGGAGCCGGGCCUCGGGCUGCAGGUGCAGGCUUGUGGCGGGUUAUCACCGGAGUGGGACUGGUGACUUCAUUAGAAGAGGAAGGAAGACCUGAGCUGGCCUGUGAAUAUGCUCCGCCCCCUGGCCAUGUGACACCUGCGCCACCCUCAGGACUCUGCAGAGUCCCCAGCAGCAAGAAGGCCCUCACCAGGUGCAGCCCCUCAACCUUGGACUUCUCAGCC
rnacentral:lncRNA from 10 species